rfam:Schistosoma mattheei strain Denwood, Zambia genome assembly, scaffold: SMTD_scaffold0003249
UCACAGUUGAUGAGUCCCACAUUAGGACGAAACGGCCGUCCCGUAA